rnacentral:rRNA from 1 species
ACGUAGGGUGCAAGCGUUGUCCGGAAUUAUUGGGCGUAAAGAGCUCGUAGGCGGUCUGUCGCGUCGGCUGUGAAAACCCGGAGCUCAACUCCGGGCCUGCAGUCGAUACGGGCAAACCGGAGUGUUGCAGGGGAGACUGGAAUUCCCGGUGUAGCAGUGAAAUGCGUAGAGAUCAGGAGGAACAUCCGUGGCGAAGGCGACUGCCUGGGCCAACACUGACACUGAGGCACGAAAGCGUGGGGAGCAAACAGGA